AUGGAGCUUCAACUGGUUUAAGGUUGAGAUUUUCUUUAGAAAUUUAUGUGGGUAUUGACGAGGGCAGCUUCAUCUGACAUCUAGCAAUGCAUUAACGGCAAAAGCAGUAGUCCAUGCAUAUGUCGGGCUGUUGCAUCCUUCCAAAUCAUCCAGCUUUUGGCCAACUUUCUGAAGGCAAGGACAUCGUCUGUAGCACUUUUCAAGUGAGUUCCCAUCCAGUUUGUUUAAAUUUUUAUACAUACAUAUUGUGUACUGUUUUACGUUUAAAUUAUAUUGUUUGUUGUUUCCAUAUGAAAAUUGACCGACUUGCAGAACCGUGCACAAUGGAA